rnacentral:rRNA from 1 species
AACGAACGCUGGCGGCGUGCUUAAUACAUGCAAGUCGAACGUGAAUCCCGACUUCGGUUGGGAUGAAAGUGGCGAACGGGUGAGUAACACGUAAGUAAUCUGCCUUCAAGUUUGGGAUAACCCUGCCAACGCGGGGCUAAUACCGGAUGUGGUCCAGCUGACACAUGUUGGCUGGAUUAAAGGUCGCGAGGCCGCUUGGAGAUGAGCUUGCGGCCCAUUAGUUAGUUGGUGAGGUAACGGCCCACCAAGACGAAGAUGGGUAGCCGGCCUGAGAGGGUGUACGGCCACAUUGGGACUGAGAUACGGCCCAGACUCCUACGGGAGGCAGCAGUAGGGAAUUUUGCGCAAUGGACGGAAGUCUGACGCAGCAACGCCGCGUGAAGGAUGACGGCCUUCGGGUUGUAAACUUCUGUUGGAUGGGAAAAAAAGCCUAGGAAUAGGAAUUGAUGGUACCAUUCGAGUAAGCACCGGCUAACUACGUG